rnacentral:miRNA from 1 species
GAGAUUCGAGCUACCGGAAGUUGUG